rnacentral:lncRNA from 1 species
AGGCCGGUAUAAACUUGCGGCUCAGAUCAAGCUAUGCCUGAUGCUGCCUUAAGCCUUAUGAGGUCGCCAAGGAACCGCAGGUGAGGAUUCAGGAGAUAAUUCUGCAAACAGAACUUCCUGAGAACUGAGAUGGGGGAAAUCGCUGGUAUUAGAAGAGUGAAAAGAAACUCCUGGAGGGCAGAGGCAUGCCUGCCAUCUUCAUCAAUGCAUUACCACCACCCAACACUAUCGGGGGACCUGCCCUGAUAAUCAGUCUACAGGUGAAUCCAGCAGCUCCAGAGAGACAGCGACCAGCGAGAAGGGGCCAUGAUGAUGGUGGUGGUUUUGUCAAAACGAAAAGGGGGAUAUGUAGGGAAAAGAAAGAGAGAUCAGACUGUUACUGUGUCUACAUAGAAAGGGAAGACAUAAGAGACUCCAUUUUGA